UAGGGAAUAUUGGACAAUGGGUGUAAGCCUGAUCCAGCCAUGCCGCGUGCAGGAAGAAGGCCUUCUGGGUUGUAAACUGCUUUUGCCGGGGGAUAAAAGAUCCAUGCGUGGAGAAUUGAAGGUACCAGAGGAAUAAGCCACGGCUAACUACGUGCCAGCAGCCGCGGUAAUACGUAGGUGGCAAGCGUUGUCCGGAUUUAUUGGGUUUAAAGGGUGCGUAGGCGGCUUUGUAAGUCAGUUGUGAAAUACGGCAGCUCAACUGUCGAGGUGCAAUUGAUACUGCAAAGCUUGAGUACUGAUGAGGUAGGCGGAAUGGACGGUGUAGCGGUGAAAUGCUUAGAGAUCGUCCAGAACACCGAUAGCGAAGGCAGCUUACUAAGGAGUAACUGACGCUGAGGCACGAAAGUGUGGGGAUCAAACAGGAUUAGAUACCCUGGUAGUCCACACUGUAAGCGAUGAUUACUCGAUGUGUGCGAUAUACGGCACGCGUCUUAGCAAAAGCGAUAAGUAAUCCACCUGGGGAGUACGCCGGCAACGGUG
rnacentral:rRNA from 1 species